ACUCCUACGGGAGGCAGCAGUAGGGAAUCUUCCGCAAUGGGCGAAAGCCUGACGGAGCAACGCCGCGUGAGUGAUGAAGGUCUUCGGAUCGUAAAACUCUGUUAUCAGGGAAGAACAAAUGUGUAAGUAACUGUGCACAUCUUGACGGUACCUGAUCAGAAAGCCACGGCUAACUACGUGCCAGCAGCCGCGGUAAUACGUAGGUGGCAAGCGUUAUCCGGAAUUAUUGGGCGUAAAGCGCGCGUAGGCGGUUUUUAAGUCUGAUGUGAAAGCCCACGGCUCAACCGUGGAGGGUCAUUGGAAACUGGAAAACUUGAGUGCAGAAGAGGAAAGUGGAAUUCCAUGUGUAGCGGUGAAAUGCGCAGAGAUAUGGAGGAACACCAGUGGCGAAGGCGACUUUCUGGUCUGUAACUGACGCUGAUGUGCGAAAGCGUGGGAUCAAACAGGAUUAGAUACCCUGGUAGACAUCA
rnacentral:rRNA from 1 species